AUGAACGCUGGCGGCGUGCCUAAUACAUGCAAGUCGAGCGAACAGACGAGGAGCUUGCUCCUCUGACGUUAGAGGCGGACGGGUGAGUAACACGUGGAUAACCUACCUAUAAGACUGGGAUAACUUCGGGAAACCGGAGCUAAUACCGGAUAAUAUAUUGAACCGCAUGGUUCAAUAGUGAAAGACGGUUUUGCUGUCACUUAUAGAUGGAUCCGCGCCGCAUUAGCUAGUUGGUAAGGUAACGGCUUACCAAGGCAACGAUGCGUAGCCGACCUGAGAGGGUGAUCGGCCACACUGGAACUGAGACACGGUCCAGACUCCUACGGGAGGCAGCAGUAGGGAAUCUUCCGCAAUGGGCGAAAGCCUGACGGAGCAACGCCGCGUGAGUGAUGAAGGUCUUCGGAUCGUAAAACUCUGUUAUUAGGGAAGAACAAAUGUGUAAGUAACUAUGCACGUCUUGACGGUACCUAAUCAGAAAGCCACGGCUAACUACGUG
rnacentral:rRNA from 1 species